GCGGGACACGUGGUAUCCUGUCUGAAUAUGGGGGGACCAUCCUCCAAGGCUAAAUACUCCUGACUGACCGAUAGUGAACCAGUACCGUGAGGGAAAGGCGAAAAGAACCCCGGCGAGGGGAGUGAAAAAGAACCUGAAACCGUGUACGUACAAGCAGUGGGAGCCUCUUAAUGGGGUGACUGCGUACCUUUUGUAUAAUGGGUCAGCGACUUAUAUUCUGUAGCAAGGUUAACCGAAUAGGGGAGCCGAAGGGAAACCGAGUCUUAACUGGGCGUUAAGUUGCAGGGUAUAGACCCGAAACCCGGUGAUCUAGCCAUGGGCAGGUUGAAGGUUGGGUAACACUAACUGGAGGACCGAACCGACUAAUGUUGAAAAAUUAGCGGAUGACUUGUGGCUGGGGGUGAAAGGCCAAUCAAACCGGGAGAUAGCUGGUUCUCCCCGAAAGCUAUUUAGGUAGCGCCUCGUGAAUUCAUCUCCGGGGGUAGAGCACUGUUUCGGCAAGGGGGUCAUCCCGACUUACCAACCCGAUGCAAACUGCGAAUACCGGAGAAUGUUAUCACGGGAGACACACGGCGGGUGCUAACGUCCGUCGUGAAGAGGGAAACAACCCAGACCGCCAGCUAAGGUCCCAAAGUCAUGGUUAAGUGGGAAACGAUGUGGGAAGGCCCAGACAGCCAGGAUGUUGGCUUAGAAGCAGCCAUCAUUUAAAGAAAGCGUAAUAGCUCACUGGUCGAGUCGGCCUGCGCGGAAGAUGUAACGGGGCUAAACCAUGCACCGAAGCUGCGGCAGCGACACUAUGUGUUGUUGGGUAGGGGAGCGUUCUGUAAGCCUGUGAAGGUGGCCUGUGAGGGUUGCUGGAGGUAUCAGAAGUGCGAAUGCUGACAUAAGUAACGAUAAAGCGGGUGAAAAGCCCGCUCGCCGGAAGACCAAGGGUUCCUGUCCAACGUUAAUCGGGGCAGGGUGAGUCGACCCCUAAGGCGAGGCCGAAAGGCGUAGUCGAUGGGAAACAGGUUAAUAUUCCUGUACUUGGUGUUACUGCGAAGGGGGGACGGAGAAGGCUAUGUUGGCCGGGCGACGGUUGUCCCGGUUUAAGCGUGUAGGCUGGUUUUCCAGGCAAAUCCGGAAAACCAAGGCUGAGGCGUGAUGACGAGGCACUACGGUGCUGAAGUGACAAAUGCCCUGCUUCCAGGAAAAGCCUCUAAGCAUCAGGUAACAUCAAAUCGUACCCCAAACCGACACAGGUGGUCAGGUAGAGAAUACCAAGGCGCUUGAGAGAACUCGGGUGAAGGAACUAGGCAAAAUGGUGCCGUAACUUCGGGAGAAGGCACGCUGAUAUGUAGGUGAAGCGACUUGCUCGUGGAGCUGAAAUCAGUCGAAGAUACCAGCUGGCUGCAACUGUUUAUUAAAAACACAGCACUGUGCAAACACGAAAGUGGACGUAUACGGUGUGACGCCUGCCCGGUGCCGGAAGGUUAAUUGAUGGGGUUAGCGGUAACGCGAAGCUCUUGAUCGAAGCCCCGGUAAACGGCGGCCGUAACUAUAACGGUCCUAAGGUAGCGAAAUUCCUUGUCGGGUAAGUUCCGACCUGCACGAAUGGCGUAAUGAUGGCCAGGCUGUCUCCACCCGAGACUCAGUGAAAUUGAACUCGCUGUGAAGAUGCAGUGUACCCGCGGCAAGACGGAAAGACCCCGUGAACCUUUACUAUAGCUUGACACUGAACAUUGAGCCUUGAUGUGUAGGAUAGGUGGGAGGCUUUGAAGUGUGGACGCCAGUCUGCAUGGAGCCGACCUUGAAAUACCACCCUUUAAUGUUUGAUGUUCUAACGUUGGCCCGUAAUCCGGGUUGCGGACAGUGUCUGGUGGGUAGUUUGACUGGGGCGGUCUCCUCCUAAAGAGUAACGGAGGAGCACGAAGGUUGGCUAAUCCUGGUCGGACAUCAGGAGGUUAGUGCAAUGGCAUAAGCCAGCUUGACUGCGAGCGUGACGGCGCGAGCAGGUGCGAAAGCAGGUCAUAGUGAUCCGGUGGUUCUGAAUGGAAGGGCCAUCGCUCAACGGAUAAAAGGUACUCCGGGGAUAACAGGCUGAUACCGCCCAAGAGUUCAUAUCGACGGCGGUGUUUGGCACCUCGAUGUCGGCUCAUCACAUCCUGGGGCUGAAGUAGGUCCCAAGGGUAUGGCUGUUCGCCAUUUAAAGUGGUACGCGAGCUGGGUUUAGAACGUCGUGAGACAGUUCGGUCCCUAUCUGCCGUGGGCGCUGGAGAACUGAGGGGGGCUGCUCCUAGUACGAGAGGACCGGAGUGGACGCAUCACUGGUGUUCGGGUUGUCAUGCCAAUGGCACUGCCCGGUAGCUAAAUGCGGAAGAGAUAAGUGCUGAAAGCAUCUAAGCACGAAACUUGCCCCGAGAUGAGUUCUCCCUGAGACUUAGAGUCUCCUGAAGGAACGUUGAAGACGACGACGUUGAUAGGCCGGGUGUGUAAGCGCAGCGAUGCGUUGAGCUAACCGGUACUAAUGAACCGUGAGGCUUAACCUU
rnacentral:rRNA from 1 species